rnacentral:tRNA from 1 species
GGCGGGUUGGCUCAGUGGGUAGAGCGUAGGUCUUGUAACCGAAAGGUUGCGGGAUCGAAUCCCGCUAGAGGCUG